rnacentral:rRNA from 1 species
AGUGAACGCUGGCGGCGUGCCUAAUACAUGCAAGUCGAACGGAAGGACAGGAAGAUUGCGCCCCUACUGUUAGCGAGGGGCGGGUGGGUGAGGAGUGGAUCAGAUACUUCUUAGACUGGGGUGACAUCGGGAGACAGGAGAUACUACCAGCUCAUAUUAUCUACGGCAUGAUUCAAAGGUGAAUGGCGGUUUUCCCGUCACAAUUAGAUGAUGCCGCGCUGCAUUAGCUAGUUGGUAAGGUAACGGCUCACCAAGGCAACGAUGCUUAGCCGACCUGAGAGGGUGAUCAGCCACACUGGAACUGAGACACGGUCCAGACUCCUACGGGAGGCAGCAGUAGGGAAUCUUCCGCAAAGGGCGAAAGCCUGACGGAGCAACGCCGCGUGAGUGAUGAAGGUCUUCGGGUUGUAAAACCCUUUUAUUGGGAAAGAACAGCUGUGUAAUAAUCCGUGCACGUUCUGACGGUACCUAAUCAGAAAGCCCCGGCUAACUACGUG